rnacentral:misc_RNA from 1 species
CGAUAGUGUGUGCGUCUGUGCAUUUUUUCUCAAUCGUUUAUGUUCGAGUCUCUCUAUGACACUUCUCCGCGCUACUAGGAUACGCCUACUCACAAAAAUCCACUCAGCCGACUCAGAAGUACAGUUUUUUUUUUGUCUGAAAUUGGUACACUGCUAGAGCCUUGUCUCGUUUCUGAGCCUCUAUCACGGUUGCACUCGUGUAAACCGUCUUCCAACAUCGUUUUUCUUUUUUUUUCGUAGCUUGUUUGCUUGUUUCACCAUUAUCUCUCUUUAGUCUUUUUUUUGUCAUUCGCCUUUUUGUACCAAGCUACUAUUUGUGUUUUAGCUCCCAUUGUUUACCAAACCAAAAGUCUGCUGCUUCGAGUCGUCCAACAAUAAAAAGCGUUGUCGGUGAUCAGUAACUCUCAACAAGUCACAAACAGUGUGUAGGAGUCGAAACGUAGAGUGCUUUUUUUUUGCAACUUGUGAGACGUCUACUUUUUAGUGGGACUCGCGCGCGAUAGACGGAACUUUUAGAAGUGGGUUGUUUCUGGUGUGUUUCUGAAACGCGUGUGCUUUGAUCGGAACUAUCGAAGCCUGCUUGCACGGGAAACGCGAGUUAUCGCAAACGCUCUUGUCUUUUUCGUGAACGAAUUAUCAUUCCAUAGUCAGUUUUCUUCAUCUGGACUCUCUGUAGACCCAGCGACGAUGGCCCAUUUACCUUUGGAGGGGUCUGUUGUCUGCUAUGAGUUUCUGGACGCUAAAAGAAAGUGGCUAUGGGGUGUUGGGGCUGUUACUCACUCUGAUGACCGUGUGUGCGUAAUCAGCCAGUGGAUGGGAACACCAGUGGAUAAAGCCAUGACUGCGAAGCUAGAGAGUGAGGCCGCAUCUUCGAAGGCUGAGGCAAAGACCCACCAAGAUCGUCUCCUUGCCAUUCGAGAACGUAUUGAGUCACAGAGCUGUGGAACUUCAAAGGAGGAGAAGGAGCGAACAUCAGAGGAGUUGUCAGAGUGCCUUGUCUUGAUUGGCAAGCAUCGAAAUCGCUCUCGUUCGUUGUUGGCUGACCUGGAGAUAAUUAAAGGGCCGUCGACAGUUCAGGUGAAAUGCCAACAGUUUACCCCCGCGUCUUCUUCCAUAGCAAUCCUCCGCAGUUCUAUUCUGCGAGUCAUCUCGCAUGUGACAACCCCGUCUCUCGUGCUUUCUUCAGAGGAAGUAGAGUCUAUUGAGAAGGCGGUGACGCAUACCCACAGCCAGCUCAACAGCGAGCUUCACAAACUCCGCGCCACCGUUGAGGCAACGGAAAUAGAAAGCAACGAGUUGCGCGAUCAGAUUCGCAACCUCGAGGAGCAGCUGAAACGUGUGAAGACUACAUUCGAACCUGUACGAAUCUCUGAUGGUGGAGAGAGCGGAUCUGCAUUCCCUGAAAAACUGAGAGAGCACGACAUUUUGAGCUUGCGGGGUGCAUGGGACAGCAGCACAGCGUUGGUAAUGACCGAGCAUACUAUCAAAUUUCCUUGGGAUGAUGGGGAUACCCUGUUGCAUCACAAGCCAGAGGAAACGAAAUCCGUCUUUGCCGCGGAGGCUGCCUUCGCAUGUUGUGUGCCGAUCCAGUGCGUGACGAAUCCGAAAAUGACAACACAUGGAAAGCACCUUUCUGCUGAAUUCUCUGUCAGUCACCCCGAAACCGUGACAACAAAGGAAAUUGAUCAGAGGCUCGCAAGCUACGCGUUUCCAUCCAUGCACCUCCUUCAUGAGGAGCCUCUGGGUGUGAAAACUGGCCUCGACAGGGCUAUCGAAGGCCUUGAGCACGCGCUCGGGAUUCCAGAAGGUAAGCAUGAAGGUCUCUACUUCGACGAAUUCAUGGAAAACAUGCCGGACACCACUUUCAGCAACGACAAAGAUGCGUACGAAAGUGAAAUUGGCGACUUGCUCAUGCUUCUCGACAAGCUCAAUAACGAGAACCGCUCACUACAGUACACUCUAGACAAAUCUGCUGCCGAGUUGAAGAGGCAGGUGUCAGAGGCUCAGAAAGAUCACGACGCACUUAAUACCGAGAUCGGUCGGCUACGAAAUAUUGUCUCAAAGCUUAAGGAUCUUGCGGAACAGCAGGAGACAGAACUCGUGAGAAGCCGCGUCCAGACGCAACGGGCUGAAGAAGCGCGCUUCCACUACAACCUUGCCCCACCGGCCAACGACUCACAAGACGCAGAGUACGCAGUUACAAUGCAAGAGUACAAGGAUCAAAAAGAGGCCACCGAAAACGCUCAAAGGGCACUCGUGGAAGAGAAAGCCAAGGCGGAACAAAUGCAUCACCUCCUGAAAAUGCAUGAGCAGCAGUCUGCCCAAAACGCGAAACGGCUACGCUCCCUACAAGACGCUUUUGCAGCCGAAACCCAACAAACCGCUGAGAACUUUUGUGCACUCGAAUGUGAACUCAUUGACGUCCUCCUCCAGUUCAAAGCAUCACAAGCACUCACCCAAGCUCUACAUCACAUCAACUCCCAACAGCAGGCAGAGCUUUUCUCAUUCCGUGCGAGGCGCAACGCGGCGCUGGAGGCCCGCGACGCGGACGGCACGCUGCCCGUGCCGGCAAGGCCUGUGCCCGCGGGCGAGGCGGCGGAGCGCGCGCUGGAGCCGCAGCAGAUCGCCGACGAGCCGCUGUACGCUGUGACGCUGGAGGAGUACCUGGGCAAGGACGCGGCCGUGGAGCAGCUGGCGGCGGAACUGGAGGAGCAGAGGGCGGAGGCGGAGAGGCUUGCGAAGGAGGUGGCCGCCUUCCGCGCGAGGCGCAACGCGGCGCUGGAGGCCCGCGACGCGGACGGCACGCUGCCCGUGCCGGCAAGGCCUGUGCCCGCGGGCGAGGCGGCGGAGCGCGCGCUGGAGCCGCAGCAGAUCGCCGACGAGCCGCUGUACGCUGUGACGCUGGAGGAGUACCUGGGCAAGGACGCGGCCGUGGAGCAGCUGGCGGCGGAACUGGAGGAGCAGAGGGCGGAGGCGGAGAGGCUUGCGAAGGAGGUGGCCGCCUUCCGCGCGAGGCGGAACGCGGCGCUGGAGGCCCGCGACGCGGACGGCACGCUGCCCGUGCCGGCAAGGCCUGUGCCCGCGGGCGAGGCGGCGGAGCGCGCGCUGGAGCCGCAGCAGAUCGCCGACGAGCCGCUGUACGCUGUGACGCUGGAGGAGUACCUGGGCAAGGACGCGGCCGUGGAGCAGCUGGCGGCGGAGCUGGAGGAGCAGAGGGCGGAGGCGGAGAGGCUUGCGAAGGAGGUGGCCGCCUUCCGCGCGAGGCGCAACGCGGCGCUGGAGGCCCGCGACGCGGACGGCACGCUGCCCGUGCCGGCAAGGCCUGUGCCCGCGGGCGAGGCGGCGGAGCGCGCGCUGGAGCCGCAGCAGAUCGCCGACGAGCCGCUGUACGCUGUGACGCUGGAGGAGCUGGAGCAGGCUCGCGAGGAUGCUGCGCGCGGUGUAGCGGCGAUUGAGGACAAUGCUGCUGCUCUGGAGUCUGAGCUGCUGGAUGUGUUGGCUGAGUUGAAGGCAGUGAAAGGUGAGAACGCUGCACUGAGGGCUGUGUGUGAGAUGAAGGAUGCCGCGGUUGCUGACCUCGAGAAGCACGACGUGCGCGCUAACAACAGCGAUAAGGCGAAGCCGCAGACUACUUCGCGUCACACGAAGGUGUUUGAGGGCGAGGAGUGGGGCGCUGUUGUGGAGACGAAGCCGCACGCGCUUCACGACGCAUUUGUGACGGAUGUGUGCGCUGCAUGCCGCGUCUGUCGCGAUGACCUCUCUGAGAUCGCGUUUGCGCUGGGGAGUCUGCAAGCGAGCGUGAGUGUGACGCACAACAGUGACAUCAGCUGCGACGAUAUUGCGAAGCUUGUGGAGGAAUACCACUAUCCCAACGUGUGGGCCCUGUAUGCGAAGCGGUUGGCGCCAAAGGAUGGGCUUGAUGAGGCCAAGGACGCGAUCAGCGACCUUCAGCUCGCACUCGCCGCUAAGGAGGAGGAUGCCGCCAGGGUUGCUGAGAAACUGCACGAGGAGCGGGCGGAGGCGGAGAGGCUUGCGAAGGAGGUGGCCGCCUUCCGCGCGAGGCGGAACGCGGCGCUGGAGGCCCGCGACGCGGACGGCACGCUGCCCGUGCCGGCAAGGCCUGUGCCCGCGGGCGAGGCGGCGGAGCGCGCGCUGGAGCCGCAGCAGAUCGCCGACGAGCCGCUGUACGCUGUGACGCUGGAGGAGUACCUGGGCAAGGACGCGGCCGUGGAGCAGCUGGCGGCGGAGCUGGAGGAGCAGAGGGCGGAGGCGGAGAGGCUUGCGAAGGAGGUGGCCGCCUUCCGCGCGAGGCGGAACGCGGCGCUGGAGGCCCGCGACGCGGACGGCACGCUGCCCGUGCCGGCAAGGCCUGUGCCCGCGGGCGAGGCGGCGGAGCGCGCGCUGGAGCCGCAGCAGAUCGCCGACGAGCCGCUGUACGCUGUGACGCUGGAGGAGUACCUGGGCAAGGACGCGGCCGUGGAGCAGCUGGCGGCGGAGCUGGAGGAGCAGAGGGCGGAGGCGGAGAGGCUUGCGAAGGAGGUGGCCGCCUUCCGCGCGAGGCGGAACGCGGCGCUGGAGGCCCGCGACGCGGACGGCACGCUGCCCGUGCCGGCAAGGCCUGUGCCCGCGGGCGAGGCGGCGGAGCGCGCGCUGGAGCCGCAGCAGAUCGCCGACGAGCCGCUGUACGCUGUGACGCUGGAGGAGUACCUGGGCAAGGACGCGGCCGUGGAGCAGCUGGCGGCGGAGCUGGAGGAGCAGAGGGCGGAGGCGGAGAGGCUUGCGAAGGAGGUGGCCGCCUUCCGCGCGAGGCGGAACGCGGCGCUGGAGGCCCGCGACGCGGACGGCACGCUGCCCGUGCCGGCAAGGCCUGUGCCCGCGGGCGAGGCGGCGGAGCGCGCGCUGGAGCCGCAGCAGAUCGCCGACGAGCCGCUGUACGCUGUGACGCUGGAGGAGCUGGAGCAGGCUCGCGAGGAUGCUGCGCGCGGUGUAGCGGCGAUUGAGGACAAUGCUGCUGCUCUGGAGUCUGAGCUGCUGGAUGUGUUGGCUGAGUUGAAGGCAGUGAAAGGUGAGAACGCUGCACUGAGGGCUGUGUGUGAGAUGAAGGAUGCCGCGGUUGCUGACCUCGAGAAGCACGACGUGCGCGCUAACAACAGCGAUAAGGCGAAGCCGCAGACUACUUCGCGUCACACGAAGGUGUUUGAGGGCGAGGAGUGGGGCGCUGUUGUGGAGACGAAGCCGCACGCGCUUCACGACGCAUUUGUGACGGAUGUGUGCGCUGCAUGCCGCGUCUGUCGCGAUGACCUCUCUGAGAUCGCGUUUGCGCUGGGGAGUCUGCAAGCGAGCGUGAGUGUGACGCACAACAGUGACAUCAGCUGCGACGAUAUUGCGAAGCUUGUGGAGGAAUACCACUAUCCCAACGUGUGGGCCCUGUAUGCGAAGCGGUUGGCGCCAAAGGAUGGGCUUGAUGAGGCCAAGGACGCGAUCAGCGACCUUCAGCUCGCACUCGUCGCUAAGGAGGAGGAUGCCGCCAGGAUUGCUGAGAAACUGCACGAGGAGCGGGCGGAGGCGGAGAGGCUUGCGAAGGAGGUGGCCGCCUUCCGCGCGAGGCGGAACGCGGCGCUGGAGGCCCGCGACGCGGACGGCACGCUGCCCGUGCCGGCAAGGCCUGUGCCCGCGGGCGAGGCGGCGGAGCGCGCGCUGGAGCCGCAGCAGAUCGCCGACGAGCCGCUGUACGCUGUGACGCUGGAGGAGUACCUGGGCAAGGACGCGGCCGUGGAACAGCUGGCGGCGGAACUGGAGGAGCAGAGGGCGGAGGCGGAGAGGCUUGCGAAGGAGGUGGCCGCCUUCCGCGCGAGGCGCAACGCGGCGCUGGAGGCCCGCGACGCGGACGGCACGCUGCCCGUGCCGGCAAGGCCUGCGCCCGCGGGCGAGGCGGCGGAGCGCGCGCUGGAGCCGCAGCAGAUCGCCGACGAGCCGCUGUACGCUGUGACGCUGGAGGAGUACCUGGGCAAGGACGCGGCCGUGGAGCAGCUGGCGGCGGAGCUGGAGGAGCAGAGGGCGGGGGCGGAGAGGCUUGCGAAGGAGGUGGCCGCCUUCCGCGCGAGGCGCAACGCGGCGCUGGAGGCCCGCGACGCGGACGGCACGCUGCCCGUGCCGGCAAGGCCUGUGCCCGCGGGCGAGGCGGCGGAGCGCGCGCUGGAGCCGCAGCAGAUCGCCGACGAGCCGCUGUACGCUGUGACGCUGGGGGAGUACCUGGGCAAGGACGCGGCCGUGGAGCAGCUGGCGGCGGAGCUGGAGGAGCAGAGGGCGGAGGCGGAGAGGCUUGCGAAGGAGGUGGCCGCCUUCCGCGCGAGGCGGAACGCGGCGCUGGAGGCCCGCGACGCGGACGGCACGCUGCCCGUGCCGGCAAGGCCUGUGCCCGCGGGCGAGGCGGCGGAGCGCGCGCUGGAGCCGCAGCAGAUCGCCGACGAGCCGCUGUACGCUGUGACGCUGGGGGAGUACCUGGGCAAGGACGCGGCCGUGGAGCAGCUGGCGGCGGAGCUGGAGGAGCAGAGGGCGGAGGCGGAGAGGCUUGCGAAGGAGGUGGCCGCCUUCCGCGCGAGGCGCAACGCGGCGCUGGAGGCCCGCGACGCGGACGGCACGCUGCCCGUGCCGGCAAGGCCUGCGCCCGCGGGCGAGGCGGCGGAGCGCGCGCUGGAGCCGCAGCAGAUCGCCGACGAGCCGCUGUACGCUGUGACGCUGGAGGAGUACCUGGGCAAGGACGCGGCCGUGGAGCAGCUGGCGGCGGAGCUGGAGGAGCAGAGGGCGGGGGCGGAGAGGCUUGCGAAGGAGGUGGCCGCCUUCCGCGCGAGGCGCAACGCGGCGCUGGAGGCCCGCGACGCGGACGGCACGCUGCCCGUGCCGGCAAGGCCUGUGCCCGCGGGCGAGGCGGCGGAGCGCGCGCUGGAGCCGCAGCAGAUCGCCGACGAGCCGCUGUACGCUGUGACGCUGGGGGAGUACCUGGGCAAGGACGCGGCCGUGGAGCAGCUGGCGGCGGAGCUGGAGGAGCAGAGGGCGGAGGCGGAGAGGCUUGCGAAGGAGGUGGCCGCCUUCCGCGCGAGGCGGAACGCGGCGCUGGAGGCCCGCGACGCGGACGGCACGCUGCCCGUGCCGGCAAGGCCUGUGCCCGCGGGCGAGGCGGCGGAGCGCGCGCUGGAGCCGCAGCAGAUCGCCGACGAGCCGCUGUACGCUGUGACGCUGGAGGAGCUGGAGCAGGCUCGCGAGGAUGCUGCGCGCGGUGUAGCGGCGAUUGAGGACAAUGCUGCUGCUCUGGAGUCUGAGCUGCUGGAUGUGUUGGCUGAGUUGAAGGCAGUGAAAGGUGAGAACGCUGCACUGAGGGCUGUGUGUGAGAUGAAGGAUGCCGCGGUUGCUGACCUCGAGAAGCACGACGUGCGCGCUAACAACAGCGAUAAGGCGAAGCCGCAGACUACUUCGCGUCACACGAAGGUGUUUGAGGGCGAGGAGUGGGGCGCUGUUGUGGAGACGAAGCCGCACGCGCUUCACGACGCAUUUGUGACGGAUGUGUGCGCUGCAUGCCGCGUCUGUCGCGAUGACCUCUCUGAGAUCGCGUUUGCGCUGGGGAGUCUGCAAGCGAGCGUGAGUGUGACGCACAACAGUGACAUCAGCUGCGACGAUAUUGCGAAGCUUGUGGAGGAAUACCACUAUCCCAACGUGUGGGCCCUGUAUGCGAAGCGGUUGGCGCCAAAGGAUGGGCUUGAUGAGGCCAAGGACGCGAUCAGCGACCUUCAGCUCGCACUCGCCGCUAAGGAGGAGGAUGCCGCCAGGGUUGCUGAGAAACUGCACGAGGAGCGGGCGGAGGCGGAGAGGCUUGCGAAGGAGGUGGCCGCCUUCCGCGCGAGGCGGAACGCGGCGCUGGAGGCCCGCGACGCGGACGGCACGCUGCCCGUGCCGGCAAGGCCUGUGCCCGCGGGCGAGGCGGCGGAGCGCGCGCUGGAGCCGCAGCAGAUCGCCGACGAGCCGCUGUACGCUGUGACGCUGGGGGAGUACCUGGGCAAGGACGCGGCCGUGGAGCAGCUGGCGGCGGAGCUGGAGGAGCAGAGGGCGGAGGCGGAGAGGCUUGCGAAGGAGGUGGCCGCCUUCCGCGCGAGGCGCAACGCGGCGCUGGAGGCCCGCGACGCGGACGGCACGCUGCCCGUGCCGGCAAGGCCUGUGCCCGCGGGCGAGGCGGCGGAGCGCGCGCUGGAGCCGCAGCAGAUCGCCGACGAGCCGCUGUACGCUGUGACGCUGGGGGAGUACCUGGGCAAGGACGCGGCCGUGGAGCAGCUGGCGGCGGAGCUGGAGGAGCAGAGGGCGGAGGCGGAGAGGCUUGCGAAGGAGGUGGCCGCCUUCCGCGCGAGGCGCAACGCGGCGCUGGAGGCCCGCGACGCGGACGGCACGCUGCCCGUGCCGGCAAGGCCUGUGCCCGCGGGCGAGGCGGCGGAGCGCGCGCUGGAGCCGCAGCAGAUCGCCGACGAGCCGCUGUACGCUGUGACGCUGGAGGAGUACCUGGGCAAGGACGCGGCCGUGGAGCAGCUGGCGGCGGAGCUGGAGGAGCAGAGGGCGGAGGCGGAGAGGCUUGCGAAGGAGGUGGCCGCCUUCCGCGCGAGGCGGAACGCGGCGCUGGAGGCCCGCGACGCGGACGGCACGCUGCCCGUGCCGGCAAGGCCUGUGCCCGCGGGCGAGGCGGCGGAGCGCGCGCUGGAGCCGCAGCAGAUCGCCGACGAGCCGCUGUACGCUGUGACGCUGGAGGAGUACCUGGGCAAGGACGCGGCCGUGGAGCAGCUGGCGGCGGAGCUGGAGGAGCAGAGGGCGGAGGCGGAGAGGCUUGCGAAGGAGGUGGCCGCCUUCCGCGCGAGGCGGAACGCGGCGCUGGAGGCCCGCGACGCGGACGGCACGCUGCCCGUGCCGGCAAGGCCUGUGCCCGCGGGCGAGGCGGCGGAGCGCGCGCUGGAGCCGCAGCAGAUCGCCGACGAGCCGCUGUACGCUGUGACGCUGGAGGAGUACCUGGGCAAGGACGCGGCCGUGGAGCAGCUGGCGGCGGAGCUGGAGGAGCAGAGGGCGGAGGCGGAGAGGCUUGCGAAGGAGGUGGCCGCCUUCCGCGCGAGGCGCAACGCGGCGCUGGAGGCCCGCGACGCGGACGGCACGCUGCCCGUGCCGGCAAGGCCUGUGCCCGCGGGCGAGGCGGCGGAGCGCGCGCUGGAGCCGCAGCAGAUCGCCGACGAGCCGCUGUACGCUGUGACGCUGGGGAGUACCUGGGCAAGGACGCGGCCGUGGAGCAGCUGGCGGCGGAGCUGGAGGAGCAGAGGGCGGAGGCGGAGAGGCUUGCGAAGGAGGUGGCCGCCUUCCGCGCGAGGCGGAACGCGGCGCUGGAGGCCCGCGACGCGGACGGCACGCUGCCCGUGCCGGCAAGGCCUGUGCCCGCGGGCGAGGCGGCGGAGCGCGCGCUGGAGCCGCAGCAGAUCGCCGACGAGCCGCUGUACGCUGUGACGCUGGAGGAGCUGGAGCAGGCUCGCGAGGAUGCUGCGCGCGGUGUAGCGGCGAUUGAGGACAAUGCUGCUGCUCUGGAGUCUGAGCUGCUGGAUGUGUUGGCUGAGUUGAAGGCAGUGAAAGGUGAGAACGCUGCACUGAGGGCUGUGUGUGAGAUGAAGGAUGCCGCGGUUGCUGACCUCGAGAAGCACGACGUGCGCGCUAACAACAGCGAUAAGGCGAAGCCGCAGACUACUUCGCGUCACACGAAGGUGUUUGAGGGCGAGGAGUGGGGCGCUGUUGUGGAGACGAAGCCGCACGCGCUUCACGACGCAUUUGUGACGGAUGUGUGCGCUGCAUGCCGCGUCUGUCGCGAUGACCUCUCUGAGAUCGCGUUUGCGCUGGGGAGUCUGCAAGCGAGCGUGAGUGUGACGCACAACAGUGACAUCAGCUGCGACGAUAUUGCGAAGCUUGUGGAGGAAUACCACUAUCCCAACGUGUGGGCCCUGUAUGCGAAGCGGUUGGCGCCAAAGGAUGGGCUUGAUGAGGCCAAGGACGCGAUCAGCGACCUUCAGCUCGCACUCGCCGCUAAGGAGGAGGAUGCCGCCAGGGUUGCUGAGAAACUGCACGAGGAGCGGGCGGAGGCGGAGAGGCUUGCGAAGGAGGUGGCCGCCUUCCGCGCGAGGCGGAACGCGGCGCUGGAGGCCCGCGACGCGGACGGCACGCUGCCCGUGCCGGCAAGGCCUGUGCCCGCGGGCGAGGCGGCGGAGCGCGCGCUGGAGCCGCAGCAGAUCGCCGACGAGCCGCUGUACGCUGUGACGCUGGGGGAGUACCUGGGCAAGGACGCGGCCGUGGAGCAGCUGGCGGCGGAGCUGGAGGAGCAGAGGGCGGAGGCGGAGAGGCUUGCGAAGGAGGUGGCCGCCUUCCGCGCGAGGCGCAACGCGGCGCUGGAGGCCCGCGACGCGGACGGCACGCUGCCCGUGCCGGCAAGGCCUGUGCCCGCGGGCGAGGCGGCGGAGCGCGCGCUGGAGCCGCAGCAGAUCGCCGACGAGCCGCUGUACGCUGUGACGCUGGGGGAGUACCUGGGCAAGGACGCGGCCGUGGAGCAGCUGGCGGCGGAGCUGGAGGAGCAGAGGGCGGAGGCGGAGAGGCUUGCGAAGGAGGUGGCCGCCUUCCGCGCGAGGCGCAACGCGGCGCUGGAGGCCCGCGACGCGGACGGCACGCUGCCCGUGCCGGCAAGGCCUGUGCCCGCGGGCGAGGCGGCGGAGCGCGCGCUGGAGCCGCAGCAGAUCGCCGACGAGCCGCUGUACGCUGUGACGCUGGAGGAGUACCUGGGCAAGGACGCGGCCGUGGAGCAGCUGGCGGCGGAGCUGGAGGAGCAGAGGGCGGAGGCGGAGAGGCUUGCGAAGGAGGUGGCCGCCUUCCGCGCGAGGCGCAACGCGGCGCUGGAGGCCCGCGACGCGGACGGCACGCUGCCCGUGCCGGCAAGGCCUGUGCCCGCGGGCGAGGCGGCGGAGCGCGCGCUGGAGCCGCAGCAGAUCGCCGACGAGCCGCUGUACGCUGUGACGCUGGAGGAGUACCUGGGCAAGGACGCGGCCGUGGAGCAGCUGGCGGCGGAGCUGGAGGAGCAGAGGGCGGAGGCGGAGAGGCUUGCGAAGGAGGUGGCCGCCUUCCGCGCGAGGCGCAACGCGGCGCUGGAGGCCCGCGACGCGGACGGCACGCUGCCCGUGCCGGCAAGGCCUGUGCCCGCGGGCGAGGCGGCGGAGCGCGCGCUGGAGCCGCAGCAGAUCGCCGACGAGCCGCUGUACGCUGUGACGCUGGAGGAGUACCUGGGCAAGGACGCGGCCGUGGAGCAGCUGGCGGCGGAGCUGGAGGAGCAGAGGGCGGAGGCGGAGAGGCUUGCGAAGGAGGUGGCCGCCUUCCGCGCGAGGCGGAACGCGGCGCUGGAGGCCCGCGACGCGGACGGCACGCUGCCCGUGCCGGCAAGGCCUGUGCCCGCGGGCGAGGCGGCGGAGCGCGCGCUGGAGCCGCAGCAGAUCGCCGACGAGCCGCUGUACGCUGUGACGCUGGAGGAGUACCUGGGCAAGGACGCGGCCGUGGAGCAGCUGGCGGCGGAGCUGGAGGAGCAGAGGGCGGAGGCGGAGAGGCUUGCGAAGGAGGUGGCCGCCUUCCGCGCGAGGCGCAACGCGGCGCUGGAGGCCCGCGACGCGGACGGCACGCUGCCCGUGCCGGCAAGGCCUGUGCCCGCGGGCGAGGCGGCGGAGCGCGCGCUGGAGCCGCAGCAGAUCGCCGACGAGCCGCUGUACGCUGUGACGCUGGGGGAGUACCUGGGCAAGGACGCGGCCGUGGAGCAGCUGGCGGCGGAGCUGGAGGAGCAGAGGGCGGAGGCGGAGAGGCUUGCGAAGGAGGUGGCCGCCUUCCGCGCGAGGCGGAACGCGGCGCUGGAGGCCCGCGACGCGGACGGCACGCUGCCCGUGCCGGCAAGGCCUGCGCCCGCGGGCGAGGCGGCGGAGCGCGCGCUGGAGCCGCAGCAGAUCGCCGACGAGCCGCUGUACGCUGUGACGCUGGAGGAGUACCUGGGCAAGGACGCGGCCGUGGAGCAGCUGGCGGCGGAGCUGGAGGAGCAGAGGGCGGAGGCGGAGAGGCUUGCGAAGGAGGUGGCCGCCUUCCGCGCGAGGCGCAACGCGGCGCUGGAGGCCCGCGACGCGGACGGCACGCUGCCCGUGCCGGCAAGGCCUGUGCCCGCGGGCGAGGCGGCGGAGCGCGCGCUGGAGCCGCAGCAGAUCGCCGACGAGCCGCUGUACGCUGUGACGCUGGAGGAAUUUUGUGCAGUCAGGGCUGAGGCGGAAAGUCGAGGAUUCGACGUUGAAGAUCUUGGACGACAGCUCAGCGAGAAGGGUGACGAGUGCGGAGAUCUUCUCGAAAAGCUGGAGGAGGCGGUUGGUUUGUUGGCAGAGGCGCGAAACGAGAGCGAAGAUGUGCGGGGUCAAUGGGCGGAGGCUGAGCGGGCGUCGGAGGCGGCUCUGCGGACGAUGGAAAAGGAUCGGGCGAAGGUGGCUGCUGAGUUAUCGGCUCUGAGUCUGACUAACGAGAAGCUGGUCGCUGAAGUUCGGGCUUUCCGAAGGAGACGCCUCGAUACUAUCGCCUGCCGGGAAGCUGAAGGUAGGUUUUCUGGUGAGGAGCUGAGCGAAAAGGUUGACGUGGCCGGUGUAGACGUGCCGGUGUCACCUGUCACCAUUGAACGGGAGCCCUUGUUCUGUGUGAAGCUGGAUGAGCUAAAGGAACAGCGGGACUUGAAUGCUCAAAUGGUGAUGGAGCUGAGUGCGUUAGGUGAACGGAUUCGGGAUGCGAUGGAUCCCGAUGCAGUCAGGGACCCCUCCAGCGAAGCUGUGUUCUCUCAUCUUGAGGCACUUUUGAAGGCUCUAGAGGAGUCACGUGACGCCGAACAGUCGUGGCGGGAUCUCGCAGAGGAGAGGGAGCGUGAGCUGGAGCAGCUGCGGAAACUGUUCAAGAAUGAGGAGGAGCGCUGGAAGAACGACCUUGGGGAGGCUCAGGAGGAGGUGGAGCGUCUCCAGGGUGAACUGGAUUUGCUUACGGACAAGUUGGACGAAGCAUGCAGGCUUUUUGGCGACGCAGAUGCUGUGAGCGCCGAAGGCGUGGCGAAGCUAGAGGCCUUUGCCGAAGUGUUGGCGGCGGCGCGCGACACAGAGAAGGCUGCUAUGGUGCAGCUGGAAGCCAAGGAGAGCGAGCUCGAGGAGCUUCGCAUUGCGCUGAAGGACACGAAGGUUUGUGAGGAGAUGCGAGAAAACCUCGAGGAUGAACUGAAACAGCUGCAAAAGGAGAAGGAGAUCACCGAGACGGAGCUGGGUGCGGUGCAGAAGGAAGUGAACGACCUGCGAUAUGAUCUACGCGCCGCUGAGUACAGGGCCGCCGAAAAGGCGAGGGAGGUCGAAAGAAUGACGUUGGACCUCGACGCACUGAACAAUCGAAUUCAGGACCUGCUUGAGGAGCUGAAGGAAAAGACAGAUCAGUACAAUCAAGUUAUCAAGGAUCUGGACGACUUCGCCAAUAGUCAGAGCCAUGAGAAUGAAAAGGAACUGCUUCAGCGUCUUGCGGCGCGUGAACAGGAGCUGUUCGAGCUGCAGGAGGCACGCCGCGGCGAGAACGACGAACACGAGAAACAAGUGGGUGUGCUACGAGACCAGAUUAAUCGUCUACGAGAUCAGACGGAUCAGGACAACACUCUACACGAUGGACUUCAGGACGAGCUGGCUCGUCUGCGCAAGUUGCUCCUGGACGCGGAAGCUGCACUGCGGGACAAGACUGCUGAAAACGAGGCUCUCAAGGACGACAUGGAGAGCAUGAUUGACGAGCACGAGGCGCAGAUGCGCGAGAUGGAGCAGGAACUGGAAGGCAAGGGCAAAGAGGUUUCCGAUGCGUUGGAACGUCUGGAGGAAAUGUCAGCCAUGGUUCAAGAGGCUCGUGAGGGCGAGGAGAGCGCGCUGAGACUGCGCGCCGACUCUGACGCGGAGGUGUUCCGGCUGCAAAAGGAGCUCGACAAGAUCAAGCGGCUGCAAAGUGCCAUGGCGGAGUCAGGUGAUGACAAGAGCAGCCUCUUUGCUCAAAUCAUAGAUACGGAAGGUCAGCUGCGCGACGCAGUGGCCACCAUCCGCAAGAAGGAUGCUCAGCUGGACGAGGUGGAGAAGGAGUGGCAAAAAAAACUGAACAAGUCUGAGGAUCUCAAUCAUGACCUUAGACGGCUGCUGAAACGGACCAUGGCCGCGCUUUCCAAGUCCAAGGAUACCAUGGGCAACUCAGCCGGUGCGUUGGAUGCCUUUCGCGAUGAGCUGAAGCCCAUGAUGCAAUAGCGUUUGAGCCUCUGGCCCGUCGUGUAAGAGCUUCGAGGAGGUCUGUAUGUGUGUGUGUGCGUGUGGUGGUUCUUUCCUGCGAAAAGGAAUGAGAGGAGAGGCACCUUGAAAGGAUAGCGCGCCUCGUCUUUUGUUCGCCCUCGUUUUCGUAUCUCCAAGAAGCAUUCCCUCUUUCACUCUAUCUCCUCGUGCGUGUGGGUUUUGUACGAUGAUGCUGCUCAGCAUAGGCGGCGCCAGUCGACCGAAAAGAGGAGAAGCACUGCUGGUCUUGAUGUUUUUUUUUUCUGGAUAGGCGAAAUAGAAGGGGAGAGCAUCACGAGAGUUCAUGUCGAAAGAUCCCCUCAUCAAGCAGUAGCACAGCAACAAAAAGAUGAACAAUCAUGGCGAAAGCCCUGGGUCUUCGAAGAGGUCGAGGGCUGCGCCUUUCACGGAUGGAUAGGAGUUCUUUUCUUGUCGUGAAUCUUGUUUCAUGAGUCUGCCGCUACUCCCUUUCGCCUUCGCAGGAUCUACCAGAUCACAGCGCCGAAGGCAAAACGUUGAAAAGCGGACGUGCUACGUGGAACCUGACGUAAGAGGCUACACGUGGGUGUGCCUUCUCUCCGUGUUCCUCACAUUCACCAGUGGCACUCCGGCGGCAGCAUAGAGCACACAUUAGCAAGAUGAGUUGUCGUGUUGUAAGCUGGCGAGAAAGGUGCCAGUAAAGAGGGAGGGAGGAGUGCGGUAACGGCGACGAGGAAACGCGAGGGAGUCUUCACUGGAACAGCGAAGCGCGUCUGCGUCUAAUAUUUGGCUUUCAGAGCAUUCGGCGACGCAGUGCUUCGUAACCAUUUUCCUCCUCUUGCUGUCCUCCCUUCUCACUUUGGGUCAAAAAGGAGCACAUGGAAAUGCCGCCACGCCUCUGUAUGGAUGUAUGCGUAUGCACACCCUAUAUACGUAUACAUAUAUAUAGACGUGCGCCACUUCUUCAACUUGCACUCGCCCACCAACUGUUGCUUUCACCCUCUCUCCUGCACCUUCUUUGACAAUCGCAUACACACACACACUCACAUAUGAGUGGGAAUAAUCUUCGCUUUACGUCUCUUCGUAUCUCCUCCGUUACACAACUAUCUCCGUGUACGGUUCUAUGGGUCGGACAUGUGUCUGUCUUACGUUGCCGUGCAUACGCAAUACCCAAACUCCUGCUCUUCAACCCGCUUUGCCAACAUUCUUCUCCCAUACGUACACUUCUCCUGAUUCACACACACACGCGCGCGCACAUCCACUGCCACGACACAUGUUUCUUUUCUGAACGAAAAUAACAAUUUCACUUUCCUCCUGCAG